rnacentral:lncRNA from 1 species
UCCGCUAGAGAAGUUCAGAUGGGAUCUUGUUCUCACAAGAGGUCGAGAGGGGACCGUCCAUUGUAGGAGCUCGGGUGAGGAUCAGUUGUCAUGGAAGCUCGGAGUGGUGUCUCAUCGUAGUAGUCCAUCCAAAAUCCACUCGCUACGGAGUAGCUCGACUGAAGUCUACCUGUGAUAGAAGUUUGGAAGAAAUUUAUUCAUAGUAGAGGUUUGAAUGAAAUUUGCUUAUAGU